UAUGCAUAUUUUCUAAAUUACAUAAAAUACCGUAUUAUUAUUAAUUAGACUUUAAUUCCAUAACAGAGAAUAAGGUGGGAGAUUCUUACUCAAAUUGAUGUCCGAAAUGCUAAACUUUUGACUGCGCCUACUGGCGGUCUCUAGGUUCUAUGAAUUUUCCUUCAGAGAUUAAAACCAGCUUUAAGUACCUAGAAAUAUUCCAAAAAAUCCAAAAUCAGUGUUAGGAACCCUUUUUGGCCAAUUCUGCAAUUUGGUCAUGGCGGCUCUGCCGUGCUCCG
rnacentral:lncRNA from 1 species